UUCCAGCAGACGAGAAGCUUGUUCGGAUGAGAAAUGUUGACGCUUUCAUCAUGUUAGCAUUGUUGUGAUGUAGGAUCUGACAUUUAUCAUUCUACUAAUAUACUGCUUCCAACAUAAACGUGACAUUUUGCUGGUGACAAUUAUUUUUUGAUGAAAACCUCUGAUCGGUUCAUCAGCGGUAAAAAUAAUAAUGGCAUAUCAAAGACAACGUUAGUUGUAAACAGAUGUUGUUGGUUGCAAUCAAUCAUCCAUAAAAGAUCAAUAUCCUGAUUUGGGCUCAGCAACCCAUGUCCGACAGAACAAAGAGAUGCUAAUAGCUAAACAAGCUAACCCUAGCAUUUAGCUUACCUUUGUCCUCGCGGCGGUCGGCCGCCAUCUUCGGUCAUUCACGGUCAGACGUUUCGUGCGUCCAACUCCGUUACCGGUACCGACACGAAUUUGUUCUGAUCGAUAUGAACAAUUGAAAAAUCUUAAUAAUGGACUGAGAGCUACGGAAAGAGAGCAGACGUGUGUUUGUACCGGAAGUUGGUCUGCUGGGGACUUCCGUUAAAAUGGCGACGCAAACGUGGACAGCUAGCGAGAUAUUUUGGAGGGUUAGCUAUGCGUUAGCUAGCCACUGCCACUCACAUGGAAAACCAUUGUAGGGGUAAAUACUUUAGAGUUACAAAAAUAAUGAAUGAAUCACAUAUAUCCUUAAGACAUCAGAAUGAAGCUUUUAAAAAUUGAAUCAGUGAACGCUAGAUAAACACCGUACAGUGUAUAAUUAACAAAUGCGCUGUGUGAGCAUGCUGUAGAGAGAUCCAUAGACAUUAAAACAUGUCAUUUGCAACUGACAACGUCUUAGAAUAUAUAACGAUUGAAAUGUGGAAAAUAACAAAUAUGUAUUAGUAAGUUGUAAGAAUAGAACACCCAAGUGUUGACAUGUUUGAGGACUGCUGAAAAAAAAUAUUUUGACCCCUAGUAAAUGUUACUUAAAUUAAGCAUAUUUUAAUAGAAAUAGCUGUAUUAUUUAACUCCACUUAUAAAAUAUAAGUAAUUUCAACCUAUAUUGUCAAAAAUAUGACUAUUGUAUUUUAUUGAAUUAAAUGUAGCUCGAAAAAAUUAAGCUUCACCAAAUUCCGCAUACCAUCCGGUUUGGAUUUUGAAGUUUGCGCAUGCGCAAGGACAUACCGCCUUUUUCAAAAUUUGCAGGUCAGCCGUCAGUUACUCACUCUGGAGUCUGGUUACCCUGUAGGUGCAUGUUGCUGUCAUUAUAGCCUGAAUUCCAAAUUGUUUGGAAAAGAAGUGGUGUAUGGAAGUCCAGGUGUUGGAGAGAUGAAAGUGAGGUGGCCUGCACUUUUCCAUGUUAAUGAGUGCUGAAUUUCAGUGAAUUACAACACAUCCACUCAUGACACCUUCAUGGCACGGUUGGACAGUCUUCAGCCUCAGCUGACAUCAGGUUUCCAGAAAAAGAGAGGCAUCACUGGCCAGAGACUAGGCAAACAUCUGCAGAUCUUACAAGAGGUAUAAGUGUUCAUUCAUUGUUGUCCAUAGGUGUGCUUUAAUAUAUUCUGUUCCAGUAAAGCCUGGAUCAAAAAUGUAAGACACAUUUCCAAAGAAAUAUUUUACAUGUUUACAUGUUAUGGUAUAGAAAAAAACGCUGUUUUCUCUGGUGGGACAGUGAAUUUACACCACCUGCACUGAGCAAGAUUUUUGACCAUGUCCAUGACCAUCGCCAUAGUACUUUCAUUCCUAUACGAUUCAAGAUUCAAGAUUCAAGAUUCAAGAGUUUUAUUUUCAUAUGCAUAGUAAAACCCGCUGGAGUGCCUUCCUAUCAUGUGUUGUACAGUUACCGUACCAAACAGUGAUGGAGGCUGUAAGGACACUUUCCAUAGUGCAUCUGUAGAAGCAACUAAGGAUUGUGGUGGACAUGCCAAAUUUCCUCAGUCUUCUCAGGAAGUACAGUCUCCUUUGGGACUUCUUCUGGAGUUUAGCUGGGUCGGGACUAAGUUGGCCCCGUUCCACAAUGAACCCCAGAAAAGAAACGGAUGACGAGUGAAAAGAACAUUUCUCCGCCUUAACAAAUAGUUUGUUCUCAAGCAAUCUUUGGAGUACUAGCCGCACGUGCUGGACGUGCUCCUCAAGCGACGAGGAAAAAAUUAGGAUGUCGUCCAAAUAAACGAAAAUGAAACGACCAAGCAUGUCUCACAGGACGUCAUUGAUGAAGCUUUGAAAUACGGCCGGAGCGUUGGUGAGCCCGAAGGGCAUGACGAGAUAUUCAAAAUGUCCGAGAGGGGUAUUGAAGGCGGUCUUCCAUUCGUCACCCUCUCGGACACGGACAAGAUGGUAGGCGGAACGGAGGUCGAGCUUAGUGAAGAUUGUGGCGGAGUGGAGGGAGUUGAAGGCGGAAUCCAUAAGCGGUAAUGGGUAUUUAUUUUUGACUGUUAUAUCAUUGAGAGCGCGGUAGUCUACACAGGGGCGUAAGGACUUAUCCUUUUUCUCCACAAAAAAAACCCAGCAGCUAAUGGAGGAGAGGAGGGGCGAAUGAGGCCAGCCGCGAGGGAUGUGGCGAUAUAAAGUUCCAAAGCCUCCCUUUCGGGUUUAGAAAUGUUAAAUAGCCGCGAGGACGGAAGGGUAGCCCUGGGGAGUAACUCGAUGGCACAAUCAUAAGGUCUGUGCGGAGGAAGUGACUGGGCUUUCUCUUUACUGAACGCUUCCCGGAGGUCGUGGUAGACCGGAGGCACAGAGGUGAGAUCAGUUUUUUCUGGGAGUUCAAUCUGAGCGGACCGAGUGCGUGGAAACACAGAUUUGAGGCAGUGUGUGUGACAAAAAACGCUCCAAUUGAUAAUGGUGGAUUUAGUCCAAUCAAUAUGGGGGUUGUGUUUAAGCAACCGGGUAAGCCCUAAAAUGAUGGGUGCUGAGCGGGAAGGAAUGACGAGGAAGCUCAUGGACUCUGAGUGAUUACCAGAAAUGCGGAGAAGAAGUGGAACAGUUUGGUGUGUGAUAGUGGCUAGGUGACGCCCAUCAGGAGAACGCACCACUCUUGUCUCAUUGAGUUCUAUCACAGGAACACAAUGUUGUUUAACAAAAACCUCAUCAAUAAAAUUGUCAUCGGCCGCGGAGUCAAUAAACGGUUUGAUUUCUAAUUGUUUAGUUGACCAGGAGAGUGUACCUGGGAGUUGUAGUCUACGCGCCGGGUCAGGUGGUGAUGUCAUCACGGAGGGCGUGUCCGCGGGCGCGCUCGGAGGACUGGAGCGUGUUGCUUGGGUGCGUGGGCUGUCGGGGCAGAUGGGACAGCGGGAGAUGGAAUGGCCUGCCUUUCCGCAAUAGAUUCAUAGGCGGAGGAGCUUGCGUCGGUUCCUCUCCGCAGGAGUGAGACGACUCCUUCCCAGCUGCAUAGGUUCGUCGACCCUCGGCGCCGGAGGUAAUUCCCUGUAGACGGAUGGCGGAGGCGGCGUCUGUUGGGCCUGGUAGCUGCCGUGGCUGUAGCCAGGAGUGAUGCGUCUCCGGUCCGUGAGGCGAUUGUUGAGCCGUUUCUCUAUGCGGAUGGCCAAGGCGAUGAGGUCGUCGAGGGUCGCCGGAGUCUCCAGCGGAAUCAUCUGGUCCUUGAUGGGGUCGGCAAGGCCCGUGAAGAAUACGUCCAACAGAGCAGAAGCGUUCCAGUCACUCUUUGCUGCGAGCGCACAGAAUUCCACGGCGUAGUCAACGGUGCUGCGGCGCCCCUGACUUAUCCGCAGAAGGGUGCGUGCUGCGUCGCGACCAGGAGGAGUUCGUUGGAACACCUGUUCCAUAGCUUUGGUGAAGGCGGAAUAGGAGGAGCAAAUGGGGGAACGACGGCUCCAUUCCGCCGUGGCCCACUCCCCGGCUCUGCCCGUCAGGUGGGAUAUAAUGAAGGCGAUCCGUGCCCGCUCGGACCGGAAGGCAGCUGCCUGCAGCUCGAAAUGGAGCUCGCAUUGAGUCAAGAAGGUGUGUACCUCGCCGGAGUCGCCGGAGAACCUCUCGGGUUUGGACAGCGCUGUGCCGAAUGCAGGUAAGAUGGCGUCUGACGAGGGCGAGGGGUCUGCGGGAACCUCAGGGUUAGCGGGGGGUGUUGUGGUGGAAGAGCCUUGCUGUAGGAUAGCGACCAACGCGCCGAGCUGGGUCUCCAGAGCCUGCAUGUGUGCGUCUUGUUGGUCCGCUAGGCUUUUGAUGCACGAACCCAAUGCAUUCAUUUGUUCCUCUUGUCUGCCCAGGCGUUGGGCCUGGUGACGUAGCGCCAGCUUAAUGGGCUCGGGCUCCGCGGGGUCCAUGGUUUUGCUGGUUUAUUCUGUUAAGUCCGUGGUGUGGUUUGGACCCCAGAUGCAGAGGCUGAGAGCUUGUGUGGUCGUAAAUGAACUUUUAAUAACAAAAAUGCAAAAAGGGCAGUUCCACCAACAGAAAGCAAUGGUGUCUUGGCAAAAGAAGGAACAGAAAAACAAAUAAAGGCAACACCAUGAAGAGCAGUACAAACUUGGGGAGUAAAGCUGGAUGGCAGGGAGGCGACAGGGUCCAAAAAGGCGUAGCACGAGGAUUGUGUAGUAGGAGUCCUGGGACGAGUAGCCAGCCGUAGCGAGACAAUAAACCAGCGGCUGCCAGCUGCGGGUAGUCAGCUUAAAUAGGUACAGACUAAUAAGCUACAGGUGUGCCCAGCGUCCCCGCCUCCAGCCUGCUCAAGGUGUGACUGCAAAAAGAGAAAACAGGCCAGGAGAAGGCAGGUACCAAGGCAACACAGCACAUCAACCACCAGUGCUCACUGGCAACUGUGACACAGACCCUUUCC